AUGAUUGUGCGGGGAGAGAACGUGAAGAGCGUCGCCGAAGGAGCAAGUAGUAAAAAGCUAUGAAUCUCUCAGGCAAAAAGACUCGUACAGGACG
rnacentral:ncRNA from 2 species